AUGUCAAAAUUAGGCACCCUCUUCACCUUAACUCUUUUAUUAAGCUUGAGUUUAACUUAUGCCUCUCGUCCUAAUCUUGGAUUUAAAGCUGUCUCUUCUCUACAUGAGGAUAUUGUUGGUAGCAAGGUAUCAAGUGUAGAAUUGGAUGAUGAGUCUUGUGAUGGAAUAGGAGGAGAGCAAGAAUGUUUGACAAGAAGGACACUAGUGGCACAUCUUGAUUAUAUCUAUACUCAACAUAAACCCACAAACUAG